rnacentral:rRNA from 1 species
AUUGUACCUUGUUGCUUCGGUGCGCCCGCCUCACGGCCGCCGGGGGGCUUCUGCCCCCGGGCCCGCGCCCACCGAAGACACCAUUGAACUCUGUCUGAAGAUUGCAGUCUGAGCAUAAACUAAAUAAGUUAAAACUUUCAACAACGGAUCUCUUGGUUCCGGCAUCGAUGAAGAACGCAGCGAAAUGCGAUAACUAAUGUGAAUUGCAGAAUUCAGUGAAUCAUCGAGUCUUUGAACGCACAUUGCGCCCCCUGGUAUUCCGGGGGGCAUGCCUGUCCGAGCGUCAUUGCUGCCCUCAAGCACGGCUUGUGUGUUGGGCUCCGUCCCCCCGGGGACGGGCCCGAAAGGCAGCGGCGGCACCGAGUCCGGUCCUCGAGCGUAUGGGGCUUUGUCACCCGCUCUGUAGGCCCGGCCGGCGCCAGCCGACAACCCAUCAUCCUUUUCAGGUUGACCUCGGAUCAGGUAGGGAUACCCGCUGAACUUAAGCAUAUCA